GAUGAACGCUGGCGGCGUGCUUAACACAUGCAAGUCGAGCGAAGCACUUUGGAAAGAUUCUUCGGAUGAUUUCCUUUGUGACUGAGCGGCGGACGGGUGAGUAACGCGUGGGUAACCUGCCUCAUACAGGGGGAUAACAGUUAGAAAUGACUGCUAAUACCGCAUAAGACCACGGUACCGCAUGGUACAGUGGUAAAAACUCCGGUGGUAUGAGAUGGACCCGCGUCUGAUUAGGUAGUUGGUGGGGUAACGGCCUACCAAGCCGACGAUCAGUAGCCGACCUGAGAGGGUGACCGGCCACAUUGGGACUGAGACACGGCCCAGACUCCUACGGGAGGCAGCAGUGGGGAAUAUUGCACAAUGGAGGAAACUCUGAUGCAGCGACGCCGCGUGAAGGAUGAAGUAUUUCGGUAUGUAAACUUCUAUCAGCAGGGAAGAAAAUGACGG
rnacentral:rRNA from 1 species